rnacentral:rRNA from 1 species
UACGGAGGGUGCAAGCGUUAAUCGGAAUUACUGGGCGUAAAGCGUGCGCAGGCGGUCGUGCAAGUCGCGUGUGAAAGCCCCCGGCUCAACUGGGGAGGGUCACGCGAUACUGCUCGACUCGAAGGCAGGAGAGGGAAGUGGAAUUCCCGGUGUAGUGGUGAAAUGCGUAGAUAUCGGGAGGAACACCAGUGGCGAAGGCGACUUCCUGGCCUGUUCUUGACGCUGAGGCGCGAAAGCUAGGGCAGCAAACGGG